GACCGAAGGUGCAAGCGUUGCUCGGAAUCACUGGGCGUAAAGGGUGCGUAGGCGGCCGCGCAAGUCUGGCGUGAAAGCCCCGGGCUCAGCCCGGGAAGGGCGCUCGAAACGGCGCGGCUCGAGUGCCGGAGGGGAGAGUGGAAUUCCUGGUGUAGCGGUGAAAUGCGCAGAUAUCAGGAGGAACACCAAUUGCGAAGGCAGCUCGCUGGGACGUUACUGACGCUGAGACGCGAAAGCGUGGGGAGCAAACAGG
rnacentral:rRNA from 1 species